GGAAGUUAGCAAUGGCAGAUCAGUGCCCCCUAGUGGCUAGGAGGGGAACUGCGAGGGGUCCGGUGUUCCCCCCCUUGGAGGGGUGGGUGAGAGGCUCAAUGCUCUGCGGAAGGCAGUGGCCGGAUGAUGGAGAAGAUGGUGUACCGGACGACCCCAGUCUUUCUCUCCUGGGCGCCGGACGUCCCCCUAGCCGGGAAAGUGCAAAUUCUAUUUUGCCGCCAAAUGGCUCCGGGACCUUGGCCAGCCAGUUACCUAGGUGACUGGAGAUCGUCCUUAUAAUUAGCUCCAGCCGGCCGUCCCCGUAGCUAGGAAAUCCUGAUCCAAGAAGGCAGAGAGACAUGGGAAGCAGCAAGUUCAGGAUCACACGGAGACUUCCGAGGUAGUGCACAUAUGAACAAGUCGGAAUAUAUUUAUUUAUUCUCCUUUCUACGUAAAUCGUAACGUAUAGGACACAGUGUACACACCUCUUCAGGACCGUCAGCCCUGGACCUCGAGAGCUGGACAGCGGGACCAAGAAGACAUAUUUCUAGACACAGAUUGCUGGGCCAAAGUGGAAACUUUGAGUGAUAUGUGUCGGAUUUCACUUGCUUUAGACAUUGUUUUGAAAAUGAAAGAAGCAGCCUCUACAAGUUGCAGCCGAACAAUACGAAAACAUCACGGGAAGUCAGGAAGACUCGGCGACCACAACAGUCUCAGAAAGGCCCAUGACACUGACUCAAGCAGCCUGCCCGAGGGGGACACCGACUCAAAGUCUGCAAAGCUCGUGUGCCUUUUGUUUCCAUAAUAAAUAUUGCCCACCUCCCACAGCCUACCUGUGCCCUCCACACACACACAGCCCCUGUGUUCUCU